UACGUAGGGGGCAAGCGUUGUCCGGAAUUAUUGGGCGUAAAGAGCGCGUAGGCGGUCCGAUAAGUCGGCUGUGAAAGUCAAGGGCUCAACCCUUGAAAGCCGGCCGAUACUGUCGGACUAGAGUCCGGAAGAGGCGAGUGGAAUUCCCGGUGUAGCGGUGAAAUGCGCAGAUAUCGGGAAGAACACCCGUGGCGAAGGCGGUUCUCUGGGACGGUACUGACGCUGAGACGCGAAAGCGUGGGGAGCGAACAGG
rnacentral:rRNA from 1 species